rnacentral:rRNA from 1 species
UUAACUUAGCGGCGGACGGGUGAGUAACACGUAGGCAACCUGCCCCAUAGCCUGGGAUAACUACCGGAAACGGUAGCUAAUACCGGAUAAUUUCUUUUUUCUCCUGAAGAGAGAAUGAAAGACGGAGCAAUCUGUCACUACGGGAUGGGCCUGCGGCGCAUUAGCUAGUUGGUGAGGUAACGGCUCACCAAGGCGACGAUGCGUAGCCGACCUGAGAGGGUGAACGGCCACACUGGGACUGAGACACGGCCCAGACUCCUACGGGAGGCAGCAGUAGGGAAUCUUCCGCAAUGGGCGAAAGCCUGACGGAGCAACGCCGCGUGAGUGAUGAAGGUUUUCGGAUCGUAAAGCUCUGUUGCCAGGGAAGAACGUCCGGUAGAGUAACUGCUGCCGGAGUGACGGUACCUGAGAAGAAAGCCCCGGCUAACUACGUGCCAGCAGCCGCGGUAAUACGUAGGGGGCAAGCGUUGUCCGGAAUUAUUGGGCGUAAAGCGCGCGCAGGCGGCGAUUUAAGUCUGGUGUUUAAACCUUGGGCUCAACCUGGGGUCGCACUGGAAACUGGAUCGCUUGAGUACAGAAGAGGAAAGUGGAAUUCCACGUGUAGCGGUGAAAUGCGUAGAGAUGUGGAGGAACACCAGUGGCGAAGGCGACUUUCUGGGCUGUAACUGACGCUGAGGCGCGAAAGCGUGGGGAGCAAACAGGAUUAGAUCCCCCCCUGGUAGUCUACGCCGUAAACGAUGAGUGCUCCGGUUGUUAGGGGUUUCGAUACCCUUGGUGCCGAAGUUAACACAGUAAGCACUCCGCCUGGGGAGUACGGUCGCAAGACUGAAACUCAAAGGAAUUGACGGGGACCCGCACAAGCAGUGGAGUACGUGGUUUAAUUCUAAGCAACGCCACGAACCUCACCAGGUCUUGACAUCCCUCUGAAUCCUCUAGAGAUAGAGGCCGCCUUCCUGACAUUUUAUUCAGGUUGUGCAUUUUUUUCCUCAUCUCU